AAAAAAGUCCUUUUUGGGUCCACUUUUACUUGUUGCUUCCCCUGUCUUAAGCCAAUUCAACAGUCAGUAUUAAGUUGACCCACCUAUGUGUCUCAGGGGUGUGACAAUUCCACACUCCUUUGAGCAACAUAGUUAAGAUGACCUAACCUCCAGUGUAGACAGGGCUAAGUCAGAGGAAGAAUUCUUCCAUCAAUUUAGCUACCACCUCUCACUGAUGGGAGAACUACACUGAUGGGAGAACCCCUCCCAUCAGUGUAGGAAAUGUCUACAAUGCAGUUGUGCCACUAGGAGUUUAAAUGCAGACAUAUAAAGGGAAUGUAAAAAAGGCAUCUUAUAAUUUUGGAAUAAAUAGACCUGUCCUCUGUGGCCAGAAAACUGCCAUUGAUACCAGUUUGUGAAACACAUAAGCAAAAUGUUUUUUCAGCACCAUGUUGCUUCCUGUUAAAAGAACAGUUAUGGUAUUUAUAUAAAUACAUAUUCUAUAUUUCAGUGGAAAUUGAGAGAGAUUGGUGGAAAACAUGGUGGGUCUUCCUGUAACUGCAUAUUCUGCAAAUAUUUAUUACUCUGUGAGCAGCUGAUCUGUGGUUAAUACACUGGCCUUUCAUCCCUGAAAACCUAGAUUCAGAACAACUUGUUAGGUGUCACUGUGUGUGAAAAUAAAAUUGGUGGUUUUGUUCUAUUCCAUAGUGGACAUCAUCUCAGAAAUGGCCUGUCUCCUCUGUUCCCCUGCCUCCACCCAACAUUUUGUAACGUUGGCAGCAUUUUUUCAAAAUCAGUCUUGGACUGGAGUAAUGGACAAUUGUAGGUCAAAGCUGAGAUGCAUUGAAAGUGUU